UACGAAGGGGGCUAGCGUUGCUCGGAAUCACUGGGCGUAAAGGGUGCGUAGGCGGGUUCUUAAGUUAGAGGUGAAAGCCUGGAGCUCAACUCCAGAACUGCCUUUAAUACUGGGAAUCUUGAGUUCGGAAGAGGUGAGUGGAACUGCGAGUGUAGAGGUGAAAUUCGUAGAUAUUCGCAAGAACACCAGUGGCGAAGGCGGCUCACUGGUCCGAUACUGACGCUGAGGCACGAAAGCGUGGGGAGCAAACAGG
rnacentral:rRNA from 1 species